GCCGGAGGGCGAGAAGAGCCUUCGGCCGCCGCUGGGCUCCAGCUGGGGAGACGCGGCAGGAAACUGCAAGUUAAAUUAAAAUCUGAGGACGGGCGGGGAGAGUUGAUGAAGUGAUCUAAACACAAAAAGCUGAGUGCGCUGGACGUUUUGUAUCUCCAGUUAUAAUUGGAGUUGGGUCUAGAAAGACUCCCUCUGAAAAAUGUUUGAGGAGCAGAUGUAAUUUAGUAGCAUUACAAUGCCAAAGAAAUAUGACACCCUUCACUGUCUUCCUAGAGAGACAAAGGUCUUUUUAGCUUUAUUUUCCCAUUUUCUUACCUUGUCCCCACAACAAAGCCUAUUUGUAACUUCAUCCCAUAAGACAUCUUUAUGCAAACUGUCGCUAAAAUCAAACACGGUAGAGUUAAACAAUACCAGACAUUGCAGUACACACUGUACAGCAAACACGUGGUCGAGUCCUGAAGCCUUACUCAGGCAAAACUUCCAUGGACUUCAGAAGAAAUCUGAUGAAACUAAAGAGAAAAUUAACAUCAAUUUACAUUCUGAAGCAUUUGUAAUGGAGAGGAUUUUCCUGCCUUACAAGACCAACACACAAAAACCUGUAAUGGGAAGGAGCUGAGAGGAAAGGAGAGAUGUUGUGGGUAGAGGGGACCAGAAGUCCUGGCUCACAGAUCAAGAAAAAUGGCAUGGUGGAGUCAGGACUGAAAAAAAUGCCAAGCCACAAAUAGCUAUAUAGACUAGUGAGAUUCCUUAAGAUACUUAGUUAAAGCAAACAAGGGAAUAUAUUCAGCCAGGAGCAAGAAACAGAAGAGAGUCCUAGAGAACCAGAAGACAGGGUAGAGACUCCAGACCAAAAAACUCCAGCAACUCCAACUGGAAGGUGCCUCGCUGAAGCCAAGAUACUUGCAAUUGUUUGCAAGUCCCGGUAUUAUUCAUUUUGGAAAGUCACUGCUACAGCAGAAACCCACCAUGAAUCAGAAUAGAAACUCAUGUGGAGAGAGCUCAAAUAGGCAACUGAAGCAAAGCCUGCUAGAGGAAUAAGCACACACACGCAGCCUCUGAGAAGCUAUGACAUCUUGUUCCAGUGAUGGCACAUGGUAUGCCACACCAAGAAUGCAGAGAAGCUCAGCCAAGCACACAAGGAACAUUAAAGGAAGAGAGGAGCCUCAGAAGCAGUUAUUAGGAAAGUAAUAAUGGAACACAAAGUACAAGAGCAAGAAUGAGUGUAACUAGGGGACCAUGGGAGCAGCUCACCAAAUGAGAAAACUCUAAUUAGCAAAUAGGCCAAGCUGCCAAGAGAGAAGCACAAUAAAUUUCCAUGUUAAAAAGGGUCUCUGGAGCCU
rnacentral:lncRNA from 1 species